rnacentral:rRNA from 1 species
UACGUAGGGGGCAAGCGUUGUCCGGAUUUAUUGGGCGUAAAGAGCGUGUAGGCGGCCAGGUAGGUCAGCUGUGAAAACUCGAGGCUCAACCUCGAGACGCCGGUUGAAACCAUCUGGCUAGAGUCCGGAAGAGGAGAGUGGAAUUCCUGGUGUAGCGGUGAGAUGCGCAGAUAUCAGGAGGAACACCGGUGGCGAAGGCGGGUCUCUGGGCAACAACUGACGCUGAGGAGCGAAAGCGUGGGGAGCGAACAGG